rnacentral:rRNA from 1 species
GACGAACGCUGGCGGCGUGCCUAAUACAUGCAAGUCGAGCGAUGAUUAAAGAUAGCUUGCUAUUUUUAUGAAGAGCGGCGAACGGGUGAGUAACGCGUGGGAAAUCUGCCGAGUAGCGGGGGACAACGUUUGGAAACGAACGCUAAUACCGCAUAACAAUGAGAAUCGCAUGUUUCUUAUUUAAAAGAAGCAAUUGCUUCACUACUUGAUGAUCCCGCGUUGUAUUAGCUAGUUGGUAGUGUAAAGGACUACCAAGGCGAUGAUACAUAGCCGACCUGAGCGGGUGAUCGGCCACACUGGGACUGGGCCACGGCCCAGACUCCUACGGGAGGCAGCAGUAGGGAAUCUUCGGCAAUGGGGGCAACCCUGACCGAGCAACGCCGCGUGAGUGAAGAAGGUUUUCGGAUCGUAAAACUCUGUUGUUAGAGAAGAACGUUAAGUAGAGUGGAAAAUUACUUAAGUGACGGUAUCUAACCAGAAAGGGACGGCUAACUACGUGCCAGCAGCCGCCGUAACAC